CUCCCUUGGCCGAAGACCACCCUCUCCAUAUUCAGAAAUUCGUCCAAAACCCUAUUUUCCCACCUUGCCGCAGCCUUCCAUCCCCAAACUCCCAACUUUCUGCCCAAAUUCAACCUUGCCACACCAUCCUCUUCCCCAAACCAUUCCUACAUCCUUCCAUAACCAUUCAUCCACCUUGUGCAGCCACUAAAGGAGGAGAAAGAAGGAGUGCCGUGCAGUCCAAAGGAAGGAGAAGCCUUGCA
rnacentral:lncRNA from 1 species